UUAACUCGAAUUUGUAUGGAGUUUGAAUGUUUGCCUACGUUUGCCGCUAGGGGCCUUGUUCCAAAUGCAUACAAAUUUGAGUUU
rfam:Bombyx mori DNA, contig: Bm_scaf13_contig10575, strain: p50T/Dazao, build 2, whole genome shotgun sequence.